ensembl:lncRNA
AAACUGACUUUCCCAAACUUUUUAUAUUAAAAAGAUAACAUUUUCUUUACCAAACCUUUCAGAAUAAAAGCAUGACCAAGACAUAAUUUAUACAUAAACAGUAAUAAAUCUUAUGUGACUAAAAUGUAGAUGUAAUCCAUGUUUUCAUGUCUUCAGUAACUUUGCUGUUAUUUAUGUUAUUUCUAAGUGUGCUGUCGUCUCCACAGCAGUGAUCUGGUUUCUCUGCAGGUUCAAUAAACUUUGGUCUCACUUGAUCUUCUCGUGUGCUUCUGUGGGUUUCACAAAGAUGUCUGAUGGAAAACAGCAAGGAGAGAGGUCAGCCAACUAUCGGAGUUGCAGAAAGGUGCGACAAAGAAGGUGCCUAAGAAGUACAGCAAGCUGUCCAUACCUGAGGCCUUGGAAACUGCCAAGCAACGACUCACAGCCUUGGCCAGCCGCUUGAAGAGGUACACCAGAGAGAUCGAAGGCAGGAGAAUAAACCAGCUGUUCUCCACAGAACCAGCCAAGGUGUACUCUCAGUGGCAGGGGAACAACAUGAGAACAGCACCACCAAGGCUGGAGAUUGAGCAAUACUGGAAGAAGGACACAGCCCAUAACUGCAACGCUCGGUGGCUAGUGGAUCUGAGAGGAGACCACAGCAACCUCCCUGAACAGGGUCCAGUAACCAUCACAGUGGCAGAUAUCCAAGAAAGGGUCUCCAGUAUGAAGAGUUGGACAGCACCAGGCCCUGACAUGGUUCAUGCCUACUGGCUGAAGAAGCUGACUGCACUCCACGAGCGCCUGGCAGCACAAAUGAAUUGGCUGCUAGCUGCCGAGAGACAACCAGAAUGGCUAACCGAAGACUGGACAGUCCUGGUUCUCAAGGACUCCCAGAAGGGACCGGUCCCCUCCAACUACCAACCAAUAACCUGCCUCAGCACCACGUGGAAGCUCCUGUCAGGCAUCAUAGCGGCAAAGAUGAAGAGGCACAUGGGUCAAUACAUUACUGCACAGAAAGGACCAAGCAGUCAGCAAGACUAGGCUGACCAACCAGUGCACUGCCUGGAUUGAUUACAAGAAGGCCGAUGACUCAAUGCCCCGCACCUGGAUCCUGGAAUGAUCAACAGGACCCUAAAAGCCUUCAUCAGGAACUCAAUGGGGAUGUGGCGUACAACACUAGAGGCCAACUUCAAGCCCACAGCACAAGUCACCAUCAAGUGCGGGAUCUACCAAGGAGAUGCUCUGUCCCCACUGUCUCCCCCCAAAAAUUAUUUAUUUUUAUUGGAUUGCCUUAUUCUGUCUGAGUCAAUGUUUUAUUUUAUUGUGAGUGGGAGCAGCUGGUAACAAUUAUUAAUUAAUUUCAUUCAGGAUUAAUAAUUAAUAAAAUGUUUUCUGAAACUAAAUUUAAAAAAGAGG